GUUAUGCCUGGCUCCCUGUAUGCCACGAGUGGAUACCGAUUUUGGUUUUAAAAUCGGCUGCCGGUGGCGUACAAGGAGUCAAGCAUGAC
rnacentral:pre_miRNA from 1 species